rnacentral:rRNA from 1 species
AUGGCCACACGCGUCUCCUCCCGCCUCCUCAUCCAUUUACCGGCGCCCACCGCCGCCGUCGUCACCACAACUUCUCCCAGGCCACGAGAACCCGCCGCAGCACUCACCGCGUCCUACCGGAGGCGCAGGCCACGCCUCGCCGUCUUGGCAGGGGCGGCGCCGAGCGGCGGCGCGGUCGCCCCGGCGGCACCGGCCGGAGAGAACAGGGGCGCCGGACUGACGCCGGACGACGCGCAGAGGUUGGAGGAGUUCCUGAAGGCCGACCUGCCGCACCUGUUCGACGACGUGGGCAUCGACCGCUCCGCGUACGACGACCGCGUCCGCUUCCGCGACCCCAUCACCCGCUACGACGACAUCGACGGCUACCUCGCCAACAUCCGCCUCCUCAAGAUCAUCUUCCGGCCCGACUUCUACCUGCACGACGUCAAGCAGACAGGGCCGUAUGAGAUUACCACGAGGUGGACCAUGGUCAUGAAGUUCUCUCUCCUGCCGUGGAAGCCAGAGCUGGUCUUCACCGGGUUGUCGAUCAUGGGCGUCAACCCACAGAAUCUCAAGUUCUGCAGCCAUGUGGAUAUUUGGGAUUCAAUACAGAACAAUGAAUACUUCUCCUUUGAAGGAUUGGUGGAAGUUUUCAAGCAGCUACGAUACUACAAGACCCCAGAUAUAGAAACACCAAGUUACCUCGUUCUGAAAAAGACUGCAAAUUAUGAGGUCAGGAAGUAUCCACCGUUUUCAGUAGCAGAAGCGAAAGGAGAAAAACUAACAGGAUCAUCAGGUUUUAAUAAUAUUACUGGGUAUAUAUUUGGCAAGAAUGCUUCAUCUGAAAAGAUUGCAAUGACUACACCUGUCUUCACUCAGGCUUCUGAUGACAAACUCUCAGAUGUGUCCAUACAGAUAGCUCUGCCAAUGAACAAAGACUUGAACAGUUUACCAGCUCCAAAUACAGAAGCGGUUACCUUGCGAAAGGUUGAAGGAGGCAUUGCUGCAGUGAAAAAAUUCAGUGGGCGAAUAGAAGAGGAAAUUGUGACCAAGAAAGAGAAGGGGCUACGCUCCCAGCUACUCAAAGAUGGGUUGAAGCCUCAACAAGGCUGUAUGCUUGCACGUUACAAUGAUCCUAGCACAAAGGACUUUGUGAAGAGGAACGAGGUGCUUAUAUGGCUAAACGAUUUCACACUGGAGUAG